AUGAGCCCUCACGCGAGGCAGCCGAAGCCACUCCAAGAUCGUCAGCGGCAGGAUCAGCAGGGUGAGCCGCUGGUCAAGGCUAGGCAGGUGAGGAGGCGGCUGCGCACGUCCACGAGCAGGCCGUUCCAGGAGAGGCUGGUCGACAUGGCGGCGGCCAGGAAGGAGAUCGCCGCCGCUCUCAGGGUCCACAGGGCCGCCGCCGCCGCGGUGACCAUGCGAUCCAGAGAUCAGCACGAGCAGCAAGCGCAGUGGCCCCCCUGCGACGCCUUCUUCUCCGACCACUUGCGCGACGACUCCACGCGGCGUUACCACGCACCUGUACUUCCGGUCGCGCCGCCUGUCGUCGUCGGCGGUGGCCUGCUGGGUCACCUGGACCGCAGCCUCCCGGCGCUGCCGCUAGGCCUCAACCUCAGCUUCCAUGGUUUUGCUGGCUCAUCUGUGUAUGAUGCCACUAACAGUGCUGGCGCUUCUCGUAACCGUCCUUUGAUCCAACCGCCGCCCGCUGACUCCUCUGACUCUCGGGCGCGUUCGUCUCCCCCAUUGGCGGUGAUGCUGAGCCAAGAAGGUUCACCGGCGGUCGACGCCCUGGAGAACGCGGCGUCGUUGGCAGGCGCGCCACACAUGGGGCCGGAGGGCGAGAGUGAGGCCACCUCCUUGCUUGGGUGGGGUGACGCGGCCGCCACGCCGGCGUGCGCGUGGUGGAGCGACGUCCUCGAUCAGGGCACCGAGGGUAGCGGCUGCGUCGGCGAGCUGUGCGCGCCGGCCGGGCACGAAGGAGGCGACGUUGACGUGGCGAGUAUGCCGGCUGCGGGGUGGCUGUACGAAGGCUCCGGCGACCAAGGAGUCACAUGGAGCGGCAAGCCGGUCGGCGGCCAGGAGACGCAUCUCUACCACCAGCGGGACGGCGAAGACAUCGCCUUGCCAUGCAUGGAGAUCGAAGGAUGGCAUGGGAAAUGGUUCGAUGAGGAGCCAAUUUUUCCUUAG
rnacentral:rRNA from 1 species